rnacentral:lncRNA from 1 species
AGUUAAGACAUAGGCUUCUCCAGCAGCAGCUCUCUUAUUGAGGUUCAGUCUGUGGGACACAGGGCAGUUCUUUGAUGUGUUCAAGCCACUGGGUCAUAUCCCACAAAGCCACGGCAGCCUUGAAAAAUAAUCACUAGGUACAGCAGUGUGUGCUUGCUGUUUCCAGAAACCAUCUAGAAUUGAGCAUCAAGCUUAGGACUCCGAAUUACAGAACACCCAUCACUGCACAGAUCUACAUCCGAAUAUACAGAACACCCAUCACUGCACAGAUUUCAUCUAAAAAGAUAAUCUGAAGAGAUGUGCUGCCUUGCCUACAGUCAUAAAACAGAAUACCACGGGGAAAUAAAAAUAAGAGUUUGCAUUAUAUCCUGACAUUUCUUAGAGGGCUUAAGUAAAGCCACACAGACCAAGAAGAACCUGGGUGAAGAAAGGAUCAGAAGACCCUAGAGGACACGGCAAACCCACCCAGGGGAAUGGCAUAGCUGUGCGUUGUCACUCCGUCUGAGCAUUUCUCAAAGUGUGGGAAGAGCCAUCCAGAGGAGGGGAAAAGCCACAUCAGUGAGAAGCAAGGAGGGUACAGAGUGAUGACUGACACCCAGGUCCUAAGAAAGCAGUUGUUCUCAACCUUCCCAGAGCUGUGACCCCUGAAUACAGUUCCUCAUGUUGUGCUGACCCCCCAGCCACAGAAUUAUUUUCGUUGCUACUUCAUUAACUGACAUUUUGCUACUCUCGAAAAUCAUAAUGCAAAUAUCUGUGUUGUCUUCGGCAACCCGUGACAGGGUCAUUCGACUCGCUAAGGGGUGGAGACCCACAGGUUGAGAACUGUUGUGCUAAAGCGGGUGGCUGGCUCCUCUCUGCUGAGUACUGCAAGCUCCCACUGAAACCUGUGAUUGGUGACUUGGGGUAGAGGUGGCCAGGGUCUGCUUAUCAAAGCUACCUGUUGCAAUACUAGAAGGAAAACUGAAACACAGACCUAGAAUCUAACCAUUCUCGCAAUAAAGAACCCAUGCACGUGUGCGUGCGUACACAG